rnacentral:lncRNA from 1 species
GGUUCAUUUGCUUCAUUUUUUUUUUUUUUUGGUCUUUUUGCUAUUUCGUGGGCUGUUCUUGUGGCAUAUUGAGGUUCCCAGGCUAGGGGUCGAAUCGGAGCUAUAGCUGCCAGCCUACGCCAGAAGCCACAGCAACGCAGGAUCCGAGCCGCGUCUGCGACCUACACCACAGCUCACGGCAACGCUGGAUCCUUAACCCACUGAGCAAGGGCAGGGAUCGAACCUACAACCUCAUGGUUCCUAGUCGGAUUUGUUAACCACUGCGCCACGAUGGGAACUCCUGCUUCAUUUUUUUUGAGAGUCUACAUAUAAGUGAUAUCAUAUGAUAUUCGUUUUUCUCUAACUUACUUCAUUUAGUAUGAUAAUCUCUAGGUGCAUCCAUGUUGCUGCAAAUGGCAUUGUUUCAUUCUUUUUUAUGGCUGAGUAAUAUUCCAUUGUACGUAUGCACCACAUCUUCUUUAUUCAGUCCUCUGUUGAUGGACAUUUAGGUUGUUUCCAUGUCUUGGCUACUGUAAAUAGUGCUGUGAUGAAACUUGGAGUGCAUGAAUUUUUUGAAUUAUGGUUUUCUCCAGAUAUAUGCCCAGGAGUGGGAUUGUUGGAUCAUACAGUAGUUCUAUCUUUAAGGAAAUUCCAUACUGUUCUCCAUAGUGGCUGUACCAAUUUACAUUCCCACCAACAGUGUGGGAGGGUUCCCUUUUCUUGACACUCUCUCCAGCAUUCAUUAUUCACAGGCUUUUUUUUUUCUUUAAAUUUUUGGCCAUACCCCAAGGCAUGUAGAGGUUCUUGGGCCAGGGAUUGAACCCCCACCACAGCAGCGACCCAAGCCACAGCUGUGACAAUGCCAUACCUUUAAACUAGUGAGCCACCUGAGAACUCUUUUGUGCAGACUUUUUGAUGAUGGCCAUUCUGACUGGCACGAGUUGAUACUUCAUUGUAGUUUUGAUUUGUAUUUCUCUAGUAAUUAAUGGUACUGAGCAUCUCUCCUUCCUUCCUUUCUUACUUUUUUUUUUUUUUCUUUUUAGGGCUGCACCAAGGCAUAUGGAAAUUCCCAGGCUAGGGGUAGAAUUGGAGCUAUAACUGCUGGCCUAUACCACAGCCACAGCAAUGUGGCAUCUGAGCCUUGUCUGCGACCUACAACACAGCUCAUGGCAAUGCCAGAUCCUUUUUUUUUGUCUUUUUUGACAUUUCUUGGGCUGUUCCCGUGGCAUAUGGAGGUUCCCAGGCUAGGGGUUGAAUCGGAGCUGUAGUCGCUGGCCUAAACCACCGCCACAGCACGUGAGAUCCAAGCCAAGUCUGCGACCUACACCACAGCUCAUGGCAACACAAUGCCAGAUCCUUAACCCAUGGAACGAGGCCAGGAAUUGAUCCUGCAUCCUCAUGGAUACUAGUUGGGUUUGUUACCACUGAGCCAUGAUGGGAACUCCCUGAGCAUCUUUUUGUGUGCCUGUCCGUAUGUCCUCUCUGGAGAAAUGUCUAUUUAGGUCUUCUCACAUUUUUUUUAAUUGGGGUUGUUCUUUUUUUUUUUUUUUUUUUUUUUUUUUUUUUUGAUAUUGAGCUGCAUGAGCUGUGUGUAUAUCGGAGAUCAAUCCCUUGUCCAUCACAUCACUGGUAAAUAUUUUUCUCCCAUUCUGUAGAUUGUCUCUGAAUCUUUGAUUACAGUGCCAGGCACAUAAUUGAUGCUAGGGUGGUACUUAUUGAAUGAAUAUAAAGGUGUUUCAGUCUUCAUUCUUUUGCUGGGGAUGUUUUUGUUGCCUUGGUGGGAAGAAAAAUGCCCUCUGAUACCCUGGUCCAGCCUGAAUCCUUAGGACUUCCCUGACUCUGAUGUCUACUUCAGGACUAGGUCUGGGGAUCUACCCUUCCUUGUCCUCCUAAAAGUCCUAUUCUAGGAGUGUGAGAACACAGCUGGACAUCCAUGGAACUUAAUUCACUGGGUGCCCAGAUGGUCAAACAAAUGACGGUAUGAAUCUGCUGGCCGCUGAGGGGUAGAGUUGCAGGGUUACAAGAGAGACUCUGUUUCAGGUCCUUGAACUUGAAGUUAACCCACCCUCUGCUUUCAUUUUUAAUUAGUUUUCAGAGAAUCUUUUCCCACUGGGGGAACCCAAGUUAUUAGCAUUAAAAAAUUUUUUUUAUUAUAGUUGAUUUAUGUUCUGUCAAGUUAUUAGCAUUUUAAAAUUACGAAAGGUAAUUGACAAAACAUAGGAAGUUAUUUAUAUACUUAAACUCAAUCCCUGUGUGGUGAAACACCUUGCUGAGGUAAGCAGGGGGCUUUAUUAUAGAUUUGUCCCUUGUUUGUUGAAUAAAUAACCAGACUUUAGGGAGUUCCCUGGUGGCUCAGUAGGUUAGAUUCAGCAUAGUCACUGCUGUGGCAUGGGUUCAAACCCUGGUCUGGGAAUUCUCCUUUCUUUCUUUCUUUUUUUUUCUUUUUGUCUUUUUGCCAUUUCUUGGGCCACUCCCGUGGCACAUGGAGGUUCCCCGGCUAGGGGUCGAAUUGGAGCUGUAGCCACUAGCCUACGCCAGAGCCACAGCAACGCGGGAUCCGAGCCGCGUCUGCAACCUACACCACAGCUCAUGGCAACGCCAGAUCCUUAACCCACUGAGUGAGGCCAGGGAUCAAACCUGCAUCCUAAUGGAUGCUAGUCAGUUUCGUUAACUGCUGAGCCACGACGAGAACUCCCUGGGAACUUCUUUAUGCCACAGGUUCAGCCAAAAGACAAAACAAAACAAGAAAACAACAACAACAAAAAAACCCUCAGACUUUAAAGCUGGGGCUGCAGCGUUGAGAGAAAGAUGGCCCUUAACUUUUUAUUACACAGUUUUCAAUAGACUCCCUUUGUGGUAAAUAUUUUUUUUUAUUCCAGAAUAAUUUGCGGUCGAGUUUACAGAAAGACUUCUUAUUCAACUGCAAAAUGGUUGUGUUAUUUUGAUUACAUUCUCACUCCUCGGUAAUUGUCUCAUUUCCUUUUUGUAAGAAGAAUGCUGACACCUAACACAAUUGUGCCUUGACAUCAAUUAGGUCGGUGGGAAGACUUUCGCUGAUAGAAUUCAGUGGCCUGUGAAUACCUUCUUUGUCCACAUUUGGUUUCCUCAAAUCAUCCGUGAUUCAUAGGUAGCGCAGAUGUUCCCAGCUGCUGGAAAAUGAAGCCUGACGUUCAUGCCGAUAAGGAGAAAAAUACCUAAUUCAAAUUCCAAGAAUUAUUUGACCUAAAUCAAUUUCAGCUUGAGAAAAUGGGGUCAACUCUCUGUACCCCCAGAAGAACCACCCUGGUGAUUAAAAAGUAAAUCUUGAAGAAUUAAAUUAUGUUGCUGUUCUGCUUUCAUAUGCACACUUAGGAAAAAAAAAACAACACCCAGAGCAUCAAAGGCUGUCGGAAUAACUCAAUUUAGUGAUGGUGGCAAAGCAUGGCUGAAGGAGGACUUUCUAGGCAGUGAGCUUUGCUCCAGGGAACUGCUACACACUUCAAUUGGUAUCCGAGAGAAAAGGAGAAGUCUUUCAAAUGAAUAAUUUUAAGACUUUCAGCCACACACAUACUGCUUGAAUAUCAAAUUAUUAUAAAUGAGGACUUCAAGAAGAUCUACCUGUUAAAUGAAUAAAAAGCUCUCAACAGCUGCCUAACAGAACAGAGAUACGGAUUAAAAUGUCAAAUGGAGAAGGAUCUGGGGUGGGACACUUUGGUGCCAGGAUUCCCAAGCCACGUACAAGGUAGAGAUUAUCCUCUGAUGGACGGGAGAGAGGCUUGACCUUAGCGUUUCAGAGAUAAUCCCAUCUAGCCCUCCUUUUACAGGUGAAAACACUGAAGCCAGAACACAGGUGUCCUGCCAGACCCCAUCCCCAGCCUACUCCGUGUCUUGUCCAGACUCGCCCCAGGUUUGUGUUCUCUGAGUAGCAUGGAGGAAAGUUAGUGAUUAACUUCUCCGGCUCUGAGAUUAGCCAAAGAUGGUGGUUUAUGUGUCUAUUUUUUGAGAUGACUUUUUUUUUUUUUGGUCUUUUUGUCUUUUUAGGGCCGCACCCACGGCCCAUGGAGGUUCCCAGGCUAGGGGUCUCAUUGGAGCUGUAGCUGCUGGCCUAUGCCACAGCCACAGCAACACCAGAUCCGAGCCGCGUCUGCAACCUACAUCACAGUCCAUGGCGACGCCGGAUCCUUAACCCACUGAGCAAGGCCAGGGAUCGAACCUGAAUCCUCAUGGUUCCUGGUCAGAUUCGUUUUUGCUGAGCCACAACGGAAAUUCCUAUUUUAUUUUUCAAAAAUGUUAUUUAUUUAUUUAGUCUUUUUAGGAACUGCACAAAUGGUACAUGGAGGUUCCCAGGCUAAGGGUCGAACUGGAGCUGCAGCUGCCAGCCUACACCAUAGCCACAGCAAUGCCAGAUCCUCUGUGUCUGCGACCUAUACCACAGCUCACAGCUAUGUCGGAUCUUUACCUACUGAGUGAGGCCAGGUGUCGAACCCACAUCCUCAUGGAUACUAGUUGGGUUCUUAACCGGCUCACCCACAAGGAAUUCCAGGAACUCCUAUUUUAAAAAAGAGCUUCAAUAUCUUUAACCCUUAGCUCAUUGCUAAGACAGGGAUUUUUCAGGCACCCUUCGCCCGUCUUUAUAGCAACAGGUAGAUGUGUACAUGUGAAGGUGUCUACUGAGUGCUGCAGAGGAAAAACUAUGUUGGUCUGGUGGUUGGAAGAUGCACAUUCUUGUCUUGAAUCUGCCACCAAAGAGCCAUACGUGAUCCUGGGUAGCUGCUUUAUCCCAGACGAACUUCUGGGGAGUUCCUGUUGUGGCUCAGAGGGUUAAGAACCUGACAUAGUGUCCGUGAGGAGGUGGGUUUGAUUCCUGGCUUUGCUCAGUGGUUUAAGGAUCCAGUGUUGCUUCAAGCUGCGACAGAGGUGGGAUCUGGUGUGGCUGUGGCUGUGGUGUAGUCUGGCAAGUGCAGCUCCGAUUGGACCCCUAGCCUGGGAACUUCCUUAUGCCACAGGGCAGCAGCAAAAAUUAAAAAAAAAAAACCAUGGUGAGUUCCCAUCAUGGCUCAGUGGGAACGAAUCUGACUAGCAUCCAUGAGGACGCAGGUUCAAUCCCUGGCCUUGCUCAGUGGCUUAAGGAUCCAGGGUUUCCCUGAGCUGUAGUGUAGGUCACAGACAAGACACAGAUCCCUAGUGGCUGUGCCUGUGGCAUAGGCCAGCGGCUGCAGCUCCCAUGUGACCCCCCCUAGCCUGGGAACCUCCAUAUGCCAUGGGUGCGACCCUAAAAAUGCAAAAAAAAAAAAAAAAAAA